ACAACAUGGUUUGAACUUCAUGGAUUCAUUUAUAUGCAGAGUUUCUUCUACCUCUGCCACCCAUGUGACAACAAAGUGAUCCCUCCUCUUCCUCCUCUUCUUCAUCAGCCUACUCAAGGAAUACCAGCCAUGACCCAUAGGAUGAAGAAAACAGAAAGUCAGUAAAGAGAGAGAUAGACAUCACUGAAGUACCCCCAAAACCCCAUACAGAUAAAAGUCCCUCGUUUUAUACAUGAGCAUACCAUCUGCAG